rnacentral:ncRNA from 1 species
UACAAAGGUUUGGUCCCAGCCCUGUGGUCAGUUCUUACUUAACCUACACAUGCAAGUCUCCGCACCCCUGUGAAAACGCCCCUAAAUCCUACUGAAUUUAGGGAGCAGGUAUCAGGCACAACACCUGCCCAAGACACCUGGCCACGCCACACCCACAAGGGAAUUCAGCAGUGAUUAACAUUGAACAUUACCGACAGCUUGAUUCAGCUAAAGUAAACAGAGCCGGCAAAUCCGGUGCCAGCCGCCGCGGCUACACCCGUGACUCAAAUUGAUCACCAUCGACGUAAAGAGUGAUUAAAGAUGCCCCGAAUAGGACUAAACUUAGAUCAGGCCGUAAAAUACUUAUCCCAAGAGAAGCUCACACACGAAAGUUGUCCUACCUAAAUCAACUUGAACACACGAAAGCAGGAACACAAACUAGGACUAGAUACCCUACUAUGCCUCGCCAUAAACUUUAACUUACACACCACACGUCAGGGAACUACGAGCAAAGCUUAAAACCCAAAGGACUUGACGGUACCCCACAUCCCCCUAGAGGAGCCUGUCCUACAAUCGAUAACCCCCGCUUAACCUUACCGCACCUAGCUAAUCAGUCUGUAUACUUCCGUCGCCAGCCUACCGCGUGAGCGAAGCUUAGUUAACCCAAUGUCUACACAAAUGCAAUCAUCGUCAACACGUCAGGUCAAAGUGCAGCAAACGAUGCGGGAAGAGAUGGGCUACACUUUUUAAUAUAAAAGAAACGGAUGACAAAAUGAAACUUUGUCGGAAGGCGGAUUUAGCAGUAAAAGAAAAGUAUUAAAUUCCUUUUAACCCAGCACUGGGGUGUGUACACACCGCCCGUCACCCUCCUUAAUAACCUCAACAUAGUACUUAACUGAUUAUCAAAAGCAAAGAGGAGGCAAGUC